CCUACGGGUGGCAGCAGUGGGGAAUAUUGCACAAUGGGGGAAACCCUGAUGCAGCGACGCCGCGUGAGUGAAGAAGUAUUUCGGUAUGUAAAGCUCUAUCAGCAGGGCAGAAAAUGACGGUACCUGACUAAGAAGCCCCGGCUAACUAUGUGCCAGCAGCCGCGGUAAUACGGAGGAGGCAAGCGUUAACCGGAUUUACUGGGUGUAAAGGGAGCGUAGACGGGAGAGCAAGUCAGACGGGAAAGCCCGCGGCCCAACCGCGGGACGGCUUUGGAAACUGCCAGGCUAGAGUGGUGGAGAGGUAAGCGGAAUGCCUAGUGUAGCGGUGAAAUGCGUAGAUAUUAGGAAGAACACCAGUGGCGAAGGCGGCUUACUGGACAGUAACUGACGUUGAGGCUCGAAAGCGUGGGGAGCGAACAGGAUUAGAUACCCCUGUAGUC
rnacentral:rRNA from 1 species